GGAAUCAUUUAGUAAAUCAUGUAAAUGGAUUCAUUUAGUAAAUAAUUUCAAUGGAAUCAUUGUGGUCUCACUGUGAACUGUGUCUGUUGUUCUAUAGAGCUGUAUGGACCCUCACUCCUCAUCACACAAACCAACAACAGUCACACCACUCUGUCCUGUUCUGCUACUGGACGACCUGUUCCUAUAGUAACCUGGGACAACACAGACAUUCUAGAAAAUUCCACAAUGGCCAAUGUCACCCAUCUCAAUGGAACUGUCACGGUCACCAUAACUUCUACGCUGGCAGCAUUCAGUCUACCUGACAAAGACACCAGGGUUGGCUGUAUGGUGUCACUGUUCUCUGGAGGUGUCACCAAGAACGUAUCCAUGGUUAUUCCAGCUAGAACUCAAGCUUCAUUUCCUGAUGUACCUGAGGUCACUGAUGGUGACAGGAUCAGAGUGAUUGGUGCAGUGAUGAGUUCACUGUGUUUCAUUGCUGUGUGCUGUGGAGCUGCUGUGGCACUGUGGUGCAAACUGAGAAAUACAACGAGAAGCCAAUGACAGAGAACAGGAAGAACCAUCAACACUCAACCCUCAACAUGAUGACUCUGAAACAAGUAAACAGUGUUUGUACUUACUGUAGGUAAUAGAUUAGAAAACAUUGAAUUGCUUUUCAGUAUCAAAUGUCCUCCCUGGAGAAUAUGUAACUGUAAAUACCCACAAUGCUGUUAUAUCAGUACACUACUACAACAUGAUCUGACUCUGAUCAGUAUCAUUGAUGUUAAUAUCUUUCAAGACCACAACAAUAUCCAGUACAUUCAAAAUACA